rnacentral:rRNA from 1 species
GGUCAGCGGCGGACGGGUGAGUAACACGUGGGUAACCUGCCUGGCAGACUGGGAUAACGCUUGGAAACGAGUGCUAAUACCGGAUAGGCUCCUUGAUCGCAUGGUCUUGGAGGGAAAGAGGCUUCUGCCUCACUGUCAGAUGGACCCGCGGCGCAUUAGCUAGUUGGUGAGGUAACGGCUCACCAAGGCGACGAUGCGUAGCCGACCUGAGAGGGUGACCGGCCACACUGGGACUGAGACACGGCCCAGACUCCUACGGGAGGCAGCAGUAGGGAAUCUUCCGCAAUGGGCGCAAGCCUGACGGAGCAACGCCGCGUGAGUGAUGACGGCCUUCGGGUUGUAAAACUCUGUCUUCUGUGACGAACAAGCCUGUGACUGGAAUGCUCAGGCCCUGACGGUAACAGAGGAGGAAGCCCCGGCUAACUACGUGCCAGCAGCCGCGGUAAUACGUAGGGGGCAAGCGUUGUCCGGAAUCACUGGGCGUAAAGCGCGCGCAGGCGGUCAUCUACGUCUGGGGUGAAAGCCCGGAGCUCAACUCCGGGACUGCCUUGGAUACGGGAUGACUUGAGGAUCGGAGAGGCAAGGGGAAUUCCACGUUUAGCGGUGAAAUGCGUAGAGAUUGGAGGAACACCUGUG